rfam:Phaseolus vulgaris cultivar G19833 chromosome 6, whole genome shotgun sequence.
AGGUUUGACCAUACCAUCAAUACUGCACCGGAUCCUAUCAGAACUCCGCAGUGAAGCGUGUUUGGGCGAGAGUAGUACUAAGAUGGGUGACCUCUUGGGAAGUCCUCGUGUUGCUCUUC